AACGAACGCUGGCGGCAGGCUUAACACAUGCAAGUCGAGCGCCUCGCGAGAGGAGCGUCCUUCGGUCAAGUAUCGCGUGGGAAGGGACCCUUAUGUUUGAACUACCUCUGGGAAACUGGGGGUCAUAACGAGGGUGCCCUUGCUGAUAAAGAUUUCUCGGAUAAGUGUGGGUCCGCGAUGGAUUAGCUGGUUGGUCGGGUAAAGGCCUACCAAGGCGACAGGCCAUAGCUGGUCUGAGAGGAUGAUCAGCCACAGUGGGGCUGAGAAACGGCGCAAACUCCUACGGGAGGCAGCAGUGGGGAAUAUUGGACAAUGGGCGCAAGCCUGAUCCAGCCAUGCCGCGUGAGUGAUGAAGGCCUUAGGGUUGUAAAGCUCUUUAACCGGAGAAGAUAAUGACGGUAUCCGGAGAAGAAGCCCCGGCUAACUUCGUG
rnacentral:rRNA from 1 species